rnacentral:rRNA from 1 species
UACGUAGGGGGCAAGCGUUAUCCGGAUUUACUGGGUGUAAAGGGAGCGUAGGCGGCAAGGCAAGCCAGAAGUGAAAGCCCGAGGCUCAACCACGGGACUGCUUUUGGAACUGUCUAGCUAGAUUGCAGGAGAGGUAAGUGGAAUUCCUAGUGUAGCGGUGAAAUGCGUAGAUAUUAGGAGGAACACCAGUGGCGAAGGCGGCUUACUGGACUGUAAAUGACGCUGAGGCUCGAAAGCGUGGGGAGCAAACAGG